GUCCAAAAAGUCUUCAAUAGAGCUUCAUGACCACACUUACAAUAUCGAAAAUUUUUAUAACAAAAAAUAGUGAAAGAUGAGCUCGACAUUGUCAAGCUCAUUGGAAAAAAUUAAAAAAAAUAUGCAAAAAAAAAUAAAUUCAAAUAAAUUAAAGAAUUUGUAUAGAGGAAAAAAAGAUGAUUAAGAAGAAUAUUUGGGAAUUUAGGG
rnacentral:lncRNA from 1 species